CCUGUUGGAGAUGAUGAGGUUGUUGCUCAUAUCCUCAAUAGUCUAGAUUUUGAUUAUCAUCCUCUUGUAUCCUCGAUGCUUGGCCGUGUAGAUCCGAUC
rnacentral:snoRNA from 1 species